CCUACGGGGGGCAGCAGUGGGGAAUAUUGGACAAUGGGGGCAACCCUGAUCCAGCCAUGCCGCGUGUGUGAAGAAGGCCCUCGGGUUGUAAAGCACUUUCAGUGAGGAAGAACGCCUGGUGGUUAAUACCCAUCAGGAAAGACAUCACUCACAGAAGAAGCACCGGCUAACUCCGUGCCAGCAGCCGCGGUAAUACGGAGGGUGCGAGCGUUAAUCGGAAUUACUGGGCGUAAAGCGCGCGUAGGUGGCUUGAUAAGCCGGUUGUGAAAGCCCCGGGCUCAACCUGGGAACGGCAUCCGGAACUGUCAAGCUAGAGUGCAGGAGAGGAAGGUAGAAUUCCCGGUGUAGCGGUGAAAUGCGUAGAGAUCGGGAGGAAUACCAGUGGCGAAGGCGGCCUUCUGGACUGACACUGACACUGAGGUGCGACAGCGUGGGUAGCAAACAGGAUUAGAUACCCCGGUAGUC
rnacentral:rRNA from 1 species